rnacentral:lncRNA from 1 species
CUCUUCUUCUGGAAAGGCUGUGUUAUUGCCACCAUGGCUUCGUUUUAUCUGUGCUGACAGUGCUGGCUCACUUUCCUCUAUUUGGGUUCACUUCCACAUUUGAAUUCAUAUUUGUGUGCAAAACUAGAAACGAAAAUAAUCCCAAGUUUUAGUCACCAAAUAGUGGUCGUUUCCCCUUUGUGAAAUGAAAAUGUGAGUUUGAAUGUACCUGCCAGGUGCAAUAUUUGAUGUUUUCCAGACUGCUUUCCUGUUGCUUUCAUAUGUUGGAAAACUUUAUUGCACAUUCUGAAUUGGCUGCAGAUUGAUGCCUUUUUUUUCCUCUUCUCCUGUCUUGGACUUUUUAUGAACUUUUCUGCAGGCUGCUGCAUUUCCUCUUCUGUAGUUAGCUUUGUGCAAGGAUAGAACCAGGAGAUUAGUGUUAAGUUCCAAGAAUUCAUUGCCAGCUUGCACAUUUCAGAGUUAUUGAGCUUUGCUUUGACUUGGCAGUGGUGAACUGUGAUCUUCUGCUUACCACUUUCUCCUUUUUGCCCUCAGUUUAAUGGCACCAAGCCUGUACUUGUGCCACACAGUAACACUGAAUAGCACUCAGCUGUACAGGAGUAGCAGAGUUUUACUGAUGUUGAUGGAUGCCCAGGUGGUUUAGUGAAACUUGAGCAACUGAGAAGAGCUUUCCAGAUGCUCAUGAUUUUUUCAUAUUCCCCCACUUCAUGUGCUGAUAUUCACAUUUCCUCAAUUGUUGCCAGCCUCACUUUAUAUUUGCAAAAGUAAAGGAUAUGAACUUCUGGGUUAAUAUAGUCUAGCACAAAUCCUCAUUUGCUCGAGCAUUAGUAGUUUGUUAUUUAUUUUCCUUGUAACGUUUUUAUCUAUCUGGCAUACUUUGGGCAAAGGUUAUGCAGAGAGGUGUUCAAAACUCUUUGGGCAAUCAGCUAGCUUGCUUCAGUCCUCUGCUUCCUUUUGUAAUCGUCUAGGCUGACUGACAUGUAGCAUACAGAGAAAGGGUCACUACACCAUUCUGCUCAGCAUGCCAGCUUCCUCCCUUACAUGCCUGCACUGAUGCAACCAGUGAAUACUUCUACGGACUAUCACAUCUAAUUGUGGAAUACAGAAAUGAAGCUGAGUGCAAGAUGCGUACCUGGCCUGGUGUUUCACUAGAAGCAUGUACUUCAUACCAAAAUUAACUGCUCCUUCAGUCUCAAAAGAGAAUGCUGCUUCAUACCAAAGACUGAAUUUCAGGUGAGUAAUGCCUGUCUAAAAGCCUUUGCAGUUUUAACCAGAAAGAUUUCUAGUAUAGAAAAGAUCUGAAACUGCUGUUCUGGGGAAUCAAAAAAAAAAAAAAAAAAAAAAAAAAGGGUGUGCAGGAACACAUAGGAGCACAUGAAGCAUUCUUUGACAUGGAAUGUAAAGCUAAUGGAUGCCACUGCCUGGCAAGGAGAAGUAUUUUGUACUGGAAGGGAACAGCAAGGAAGAAACUUAGCCUCUCACCAGCCAAGUUGUUAAGCCUCAUCCUGAUAAAUAAUCAGAUUUUAAGCAGCACAAAGAUGUUGUCUUCACUUAGACCACAUCUGUUGACGCUGACAAGGUUAUAGUUCUGAUAGUUCAGCUGUGCUUGUUGGUUACUAAAUAUAUCAGACAACACUGACCUUGGCAGUAGUGGCCAAGUGCAGUUGCCUAAUACUAAGGAACAGCAUUUCCAGCUGCUCCAGCUCCUUAAGUUUGUAAGAAUAAUUUUUGUUCUCAACUUGAUAAGCCUUACCCAGCCCUGCUUUUGCAAGUGGUGACCAACAGUGGUUGGGAGCAAGGCAUUUCCUUUUCAGAUUCUUUUCCCAACAUUCAUUUAACUUUAGAGGAAAGGACAAACUUGAGAAGCAAGUGGAAUUAUGCAGAAAUUAAGCAGGAUAAGAAAUCCACUAAUCUAUGUUCUCAUUCACAGAUCUUGAUCUUUAGCUGUUCCACCUAGGCCAGAGGGACCAGUGAAUGAGAAGCCAGAAAAAAAUAAACCAAGUGCCCAGCUUCCAUGGCUAAGGACUGCACAGACAGUUGCUGUUUUGUGAGAUAUGUUGACAUUGUUACCAAGAAGUGCUCUUAAAAUUUUUGACAGUAUUGCAAAAUGCUCUCUUUCAGGAGGCUAUAUUGAAAUCGGAGUUCCUAGUUACUGAAUAUCCACAUGGGACAGUAAGGCAAUAUUUACAAAGGUUACACUUUUAAAAAUGGUGCCACUUGUGAGGAGGUGUCUCAAGCAGGCUGCCUUUGUGAAGGGAAUUGGGGUCCUUGGUCACCGGAGUGGUAUUUUCAGUGCUCUUUCUCUCAUCCUUAGAAAACCAGCAUGACCACAGAGAUCAUCGCUGAAAUGAAAGCUGAACAAUGCAUGGCUUUAGAGGUGAGGUGGUGAGAUUGAUAGGUGUUCAUUUCAGGGAUCAAACCGUACGCUCUCACUUCACAAUAAUGUGUACUCUGGUGAAGUUCUGGUACUCUAUCCCAUCAAUUCCUUAGGGCUAGCAUUUUUAGACCAGUUUUAAAAAUUAAUACAGGUUUUUAUGAUUUAUAGGCCUUUCUGUUCCUGCUGAGUAGCUAAAAGCACUGUCAGGACUACAGAGAUCUUGUUCUUACAUUAAAAAAUAACAGUUUAAUGGCAGCAUGACACCUUUCACAAAAACUAUUUUUUCUUAACUGAAAAAGAUAAAUUGAUAAUAAAGAUUUAAACAAAAGUGCAAAGUGAGGCUUCUACAUUCCGUAUGUCUAUUCAUACAACGCAUGGGCAUGUAUGGAACUAGACAUGGCAGACAAGAUUCUAUAUGAAUUUCUGAAAUGUUGGUGGCUGGAAGUGCCUAAGAGCUGUUCUGCCUACAGUAAGAAGACAGUUCUUAUAAGGCUUUUCCCCACAGGGAUACAGUGAGAACUGGAAGCUGUGUGAGCGCUGUGGAGCCACUGUGGAUCAACACAACAGUUUCCCGCCUGCUGGAGCCUCCAGGCAGCUGGGCUGGGGCUGAGCACAGCUCGUCUCACAGGCCAGCACUGCCUGCAGGCCUGUGGGGCACUGCUAAUGCCAAAGAGCUAGAGAUCAACCCUACUGUGGGGCUUCUGUCUGGGCUCUUCACAACCAUUUGUUCUGUUAUUAAAUUCCUGUGAGGAAAGAGUUUCCUCCCAGUCUUACAGAUGAGAAAACAGACUAAGAAAAAUCUUAGUGCACUUGCUGUCUUGAGAGUGCUGAGGCGAGGCGUUGCCGGGGCUGACAUCUCAGUGAGUAACACAUGCAGCCUGGUAGUCACAGCACUGGGUCAGGCAGGGAUCAUUUAUCCAUUCCUACGUGACCUGUGCCUCCUAGUGGAUGUGACAGAGCUGGUGCCUGUGUCUCCACAUGGGUCACUUUGCUCGCACAGCCUCCAGCACCACUCCUCACUGGGCUCCAAGACACCUCCGGGGGCUGCCUUGGCUGGAUGCAGGCCGCACGCAUUGGACUGCAGGCCAUGUAGUGUGCGGCUGUGGGUGCCAUGACAUCUGAGGGGGAGAGGCAUUGCCCACUGCCCAGAGCAGUACUGUGGGUCCCUGGUCACUAAAGUUACGGUCCUAGGACGCACAUAUGUGGUCUGAGAGCAGAGUGACCUGUCAGGCAGCACCACAUACCAUCCCAGCUCUGUGGGGAAAGUGCCCUUUGACUGACAGAAAACUGUGACAGAAAAGGAACACGGCUUGUCAGCGUUCUGGUGGGCUGCCUUAGACAGAAGGAAGAUGAGAAAAAGAAGUUGGGGGACAACUGCUCUUUCAAAGCUAGUUCUGUAGGACUGCACUCAAUUUCUGUGAGCCUGCUUCUGCUGUAAGGAGAUAAGAUUAGAAAGUGAGGCUUAGGAAGAGGCUUGCUCUUCAUCAGAGGGAGAGAGGGAAACGUUCUUCGUGUGGUGAAUUCAUGAGGACAUGGCUGGUCCUGUGUGAAGCCAGGAGAUGGCCUCAAUGAUCCUUGCAGAUCCCUUCCAACUCUGGAUAGUCUGUGAUUCUGUGGUAUGUAUCAGUUUAAUUUGAAUUUAUAUGGUCUGUAUGUGAGAGAAGUACUGUAAUUCUCCAUGUAAAUUAUGCAUGUUUAUGUGCAUACAUUAAAAAAUGUUCUUUUUUUUAAUCUCAAGAUUUAAUGGAGUGGAGAUUUAAUCUCUAGUGGAGAUCAUAUCAUAGAAAUUUUCAGCCAUUCAUAACUGGGACUUGAGAUUUGCUGCCAGCAGAGCACUAUCAAUGAGAUCUGCAGAGCUGCAGCAGCACUGAGGUAGUCAUUUGAUUCAGUUUUCUAACAUAAGGACUCUGUUCCAAAAUGAAGGAGGAAGCACAGAGUGAAAGACAUCCAAGAAACUUUUUUGUUCAAUUGCCCCAAAAAUAUCAGCAAUAGAUGAAAGAUGACAUUUUGUACACCCACAGAGUGGGGCACAAAUGAGUCUUCCUGUAGGGCAGGAUACAGCAGGAGGGCUCUGUAGAAGGGCUCCAGUCCUGAGUCUCAGUAACCAGUCAUGGCUGCAUUGCCCCUUUAUGUUACAGAUCUACAGGAGCACAGGACCAAAAAACACAUUGGCAUUUAUAGGCAGUAUAUACUACUUAGAAAAAAAUCUUAAGACAGUCACCUUCGUAUCAACUUUUCAAGAAAAAGGAAAAAUGUGGGGAUGUACUGCAUUUAGCACACAACCUCUUCUGGAGCAAAAAAAUAUCUGAAGCAUCUAAGAUGUUGUAGUUUGACUGCUAAUGAUCAGGACUUCAACUGUUGAAGUUGUCUUGAGAGAGGUCACAUCCCUCAUUAAGUCUGAGAAAAAAAUAACCAAGUUUCCUAAUUUCUUCUGGAUGGUACCACCAGAUUGUAUGAAGUUAAUGGCCAACCAGAAAGGAUUGUGGCUGAGGUUUCCAUUUUAUUCAAGAGUCCAGAAGGACAGAGCUAAGUGGAUGAUCCCAUGUUCUGUAUGAUAUUUACUAGCAUCUCCUUCAAGGGAGAAACGAGAGGCAGAAGGACCCACCACCAUUUCAAGGUGGCCAAUUUAUGCCAGGCUUUGGCUGCGUCUGCACUCUGGCUCUCUGCUUCUCUACUGUAAUGGCAAUUUCAACAAAAAACGUACUAGAUUUUCCCACUGAAAGAAACCUUGGCACUGAGCUCUGAGAAGUGGAGGAUAAAGACAAAGCAGUGCUGCUACUUUUAGCAGCAGAGCUUCUGAGGAACAAGGCUGGGAUGUGGUACUGCUGAACCAAGGUGGAACAAAUAAUGUGUGGACUCAAUUGAAUAAAAAUAGGGUGCGUUACAGUCAGGGUCCAAAAUUCCUCAAGUAAAUCAAAUGAGAGGAAAAAAAAAAAAAAGACUAAGAAGAAGAAAAAAGAAACUUCCCAGUAAGCAAUUUUAAAAGAUUUACAUAUCCUGGAAAUAUCUGAGGUAACUAAAAUGUGGAUUGGACAAAUAUCUACCAAAUGUUCACAUAAACCUGUGAAACCAGCUACAGCUUUCCCAGUCUGAACUUUAAUAACUAAUGAGUCACACUGCAAAGAAAUUUGAAGUGUAGGAAUUUUCUGUGGAAGCUGAUUGCCUGGGUGGAAAGUCAGGCUGUGCUGCGGAGGCUCUCCUUCCCCAGAAGAAGGUGGGCAAGGGGGCAUUUGGCACUUUUCUCACAUGUUAAUUCUCUAAUCAGGAGCAGUAAGGACCGUGGGAGCUGACGGUUGGCAGAGCUGUUCUCACGGCCCCGCAGACCUCAUGGCCAUGGCAGAGGCAGCCUCAUGGCUGUGGGUACAUCACUGUGGGGCAGGGACACAAGUCCAGGACACACAGAAGAGUGGAAUGCCAACAGGACUCUGGAAAUGAGUGAGACCUCCCCUGUGCCUCAUUUGCAGGAUAAAAACAGGUGCAGGGCUUCCUCAUUACAUUUUGAACACUUCUGAAAGCUUCAGUAAAGGAUUACAUCUGUUUCCUAGAAUGAGCGAAAUUCGGCAAUGCACAAAGGAGGGCAGAUGUUCAGCUCACUGACGGAACUGUGAAGUGAUGGUUCUUAAACAAGGUUGCUUGAAGCAGCUAAAGAGGAUGCCUCAGGGUCUUUGUGCAAUCCCUGAAGCUCGUUCAAAAACAUGGAAGGGGGAGGGAAGGGCCAUUGCUACACUGAGAUGCCAGAAACAGUCCUGUGCUGUUGCUUAGUUUGGAGUAUUAUAAAAUAAAGGCAUUUGACAGCUGAAUAGGAUCAAGAAAGACAAGGGUUUGAUUCAGGCACAGAAGUUUUUUGCCCAGAUGUACAAAUAAUGCUGAAGGAUGGAGAAGCCAAGAUGUUAUUGCUUGCAGUCGAACAGGAGAAAAACUGUGAAACUGGGAUAGUAAAAGUCAGAUAGCUGCACUUUGGGUAAGACAUUUUACAGACUGAGUUGGCAGAGUGCUAAAACUGUGAAAGAUUUACUUAUGGGGAAUGACUGGAGAAUAACUAAUGGAAAUAAACCUUGAAUAUUCCCUGCAUUGAAAUCACUCUGUGUAUGUGUGGUCCAGGCAAAAUUCAUUUUAAUCCUCAAAUUUAAUAUCCUUCUAUGUUUCAAAGUUUCUCGAGAUUAAAAGAAAAACAUUAUCAUGUCAGAGCUAUAAUUUGAAUAAUUCUGGCUUAAAGACCCGUGUGAAGGUGCAGGUAGGAGAUGGAUCAUUUUGUGCACUUAAACUUGUGCCCUCUGAGGGUUUAAAGGUUCACAUUAUAGCUCUGUGCAGUAUCUUCCCUGUUCUCCUGAUGCACUUAAGUAUUUAAACAUCACAUGUGAAGUGUUUUGAAGCACCUACCAACACAGCAGCCUUGGGCUUUGGCCACUGAGCAGCGCUGCCUUUCAGACUCACCAUUCAAAGACAUCGUGCUUGGUUUUCCUUUGACAGCUUCCACAGUUGUGCUGCUUGGGGACACUGAGCUGCAGCCUCAGGAGGGCAUCAGCAAAGGAACCACUGAGGAGUGUAGAGAAAGCCAAUGGGAGGACAGCAUCAGCUCUGUGUUUCCAGAAGUGCUGAUGUGAGUGACAGCUGCUCAUCAUCUCCUCACACCAUUGUGGCCUGGCUAGAAAGGCACAACAUGGUGGGAACAAGCAGAUGUGAUCUUUCCACCAGAAAAUGGGAUUACAGGGUUUAUUACUGUUAAGAACUGGUGAGCAAGAGAGAAAGAGAGAUUUUUAUAUUUCCCAGUUUCUUUUUCGUUCUGCUCUGGGCUGCUCCUUCUGAUUUUUUCAUUUCAAAUAGAGAAAGUUUUGCUUGAUGAAAAAAAGUCCUAAUAUUCUUUACACAGAAUGGGAGACCAAAUAAAGCUGAUAAUCUGGUUAUCAGCCCCCUAAUAUUAACAUAAUGACUGAGCAAAUGUUUCAAAUGUUUUCCAGGACCAACACAAACCUGUGUUAGACUGAGUUCUCUGGUCCUUAUCCAUUGUAGGAUCGUUCCAAAUUUCCACUUUAUGGGCCCUUCAGUACCUCCACAGUGUUCCUGUGCUCUGCACUGUUUUUUCCAAAACACCACAGCACUAAUUUUUGAUCUGUCCAUUUCAAACCAGUGAUCAGGCACUGGCCAAAUAAAGCUACACAUACAGGCAGAAAAGAGGGAUAGCAGCGUGCUUCUCAGGUGCAGUGCAUCGCCAUGCGCUGCUUUAUGCUUCUCUGUAGGGCAAUGCUUUCAUUGGAGAUAUUUAGUGAAAAGGGAUAAUCGAGCAGCUGCUCUCUAGUGCUGAAGCGCAGUAACUGCAGGUUUACUGCUCGCUGCAUUGCAUUAUAUGUCAGUAAAACUUCCUGUUCUCAUUGCACUGCAGCUAAAGGGGCUGAGCCAGAUUUUCACAAAUAACUGAUUUUGUCUCUUUCUCAAAAUAUUCUUUUUUUCUUUUUGUACCCGGGUCUAUGCUAAUUAAUAAUUAUUUCUUUUGUAAUGGGAGGAGACUAAAAGCAAGACAUAUCUUAAAAGACUCACAAGAGCUUUCUAUCUGUGUUAUUUUACAUCUUAAUGUAAUACCAAUUAUUCAUUUAUACCUCUUUUAUUAUCAAGCGGCUUUCUGGAGAGCAAAACAGGAUCGUAUAUUUCUACUUCAGUUACAAAGAGCUCUUUCUAAAUGCAGAAUUCAAGAAAAAUCAAUUCUUCUCCACAGGAGAGAGAUGAAUGUAACUUAAUUCUGCAGCCCUUAAAUCCUGGAUGCAUCUGCCAAAAGCAGGGAGUUCACUGAAGCCAUUCCACUGAGCCAGAGAAGGGGCUCUUCUUUUAACGGGUAUUUAAUAUUUUGUGAUUUUUUUUAGCAUGCCAAGAAUUCCUGUAUCCUACAAGUUCACUGCAUCCCAAACCUGAGUCAAACACUGAGAGCAAGGAGCACGUUUCCAGGCCAGCCUCUAUAAAUUCAAUGAGCAACUCUUUCUUUGUGCUCAGGCUGAGUAAUCAAGAUGACAACAACGUAUCAAGAUGAAGAAUCUAUUAAUUUUGACUUUUUCCACAUAAAAACAUUGAGGAAAAGCCAUGAAGGAAUCUACCUCAGAAAGGCAGGCAGCCUUCAGGACUUGACCUUUGUACAAAGGGUUAGAAAAAGCUGCUUGAGCAAGAAGAGCCCCAGGCCCAUUGGACUUCCUUUCCUACAUCUGCAAUCACUCAACAUAAUCAAAAAUCUUCAUUUACUGUUUUGUUGAGAAUCUGAGAUAACUCAUGAAGUUCUAAGGCUUUCCCAACUUCACCAUCCUCCAUGUGAAGCAAAUCUUAUGGAGCUGAUCAGUAAUAGAAGCAGGAUAAAACACAGGUGAGUAACCUGGAGCCUCUCUCACCUGACUCCUUCCUUUGCCAGCUGUCUCUAUUUGAUGCAUUUGAUGGCUUCUCAGGCUCUAUCCUUGCCUGGAAUUUCCCGUCCUGGUUUCCAGCUGCCUCCAGUCAGUUACUUCUAAGGUGCCCACCAGAGUACUUCAGGAUAACUGCUCCCUCAAGUUCAAAUAAUUUCCUCUGUCACUGCAUGCAUCACACAGGUACAGAUAUUGUCUCACUGGUACCAUACAGGACAGAUAAAUGCUAUUUCAGCUUUUGGGUCUGUGCUUAUUUGCUGCUUCUCUGUAAUGCUUUCCAGGGGAAUGUCAAUAAGGAUUGGUAAAUGUCAGCUGUGCUGAGCAAUGUAAUUACAUGCUUGCAUUGAGAAGCUAACGCCUUGCUGCAGAAUGCUAGCAGGUACUUCUCAGUUUCCAUAUUUGUUAUGCUCUCAGCCACAUACAUGACUAUUUACAUCAAAAGGUGAAUCAGUGACCUAUAACUGAGCUUUCAGAAGUUAAUGUAAAUGAAAAAGAUAGGCUAUCACAUUUGACUGUUUCCAGAGCGUGAGUCACUGGAACAGUGAUGAACAACACCUGUAAGAUGGGGAAUGGCCAGGCAGAAUUAAUUUGAAUUAGCUUGAGCUAGGUUUAAUAAACUUCUAUAUAUAAGCAAUUUGUGCUCUGUGAUCUCAGUACUGGAAUGCUUGAAGAGAUUGUGCAUUAGGUGCUUAAGUAGUGACAUUAUUAUUGCUACAGCCUGAUUGCUUUAUGGGGUUGAACAACAACUCUUCUUGAUUUCAGGAAUCUGUGAGGAGUCAGGUCCUGUAAACCAGCCAUCAUCAGCAACAUCACGUAAUGAAGUCCUAGAACUGCAGGCUUCUCUGCUUCAGUGCUCUUGGGAGAGGUGAAUGGAAAACACUUGAAAGAAACCUGCUGCAAGCAGUGAGGGAGUUUGUCAUAUAUGGAAUGAAAAGGCUGUUGUAAGGAAAGAAACUCCUACUAAGAUGGAAAGAGAUGAUAAUGAAAAUCUCUCUUCUACCCUGCAAGCCUGAGUCUCAGCUGUGGAGAAACUAGUUCAAUGGCUCAAAAAAAAGACAUGGAUCUGUGGGGCAUAAGGAGCUGGGA